GGGUUUAGGAGCAUCAUACUAGUACAUGGUUAAAUCCAAAUUCUCUUAGACUUGGGCUUCCUAUUUGAUAAGAUUUUGACCAAGCCAAUUGCAUGCACUUUUGGAUAAGGAUGAGGACUCAUCUAACCAUAUCUAGGUGUGGAAUACAUGGAAAGAAGGAGUGCCAAUUGCACCCCCUCACCUUUCAUCAUGAGAAAAGAGAGAGGGGGCAUGCACCCCCUUCUGGAUAAGAUCCAGGGGUGCACACCCAUCUAGAUAAGCCCUGGCAUCCUAGGAUUUUGGAAGGAUAAGGGGUGCCCCA
rnacentral:lncRNA from 1 species